rnacentral:rRNA from 1 species
AGAGCUAAUACAUGCAGAUCAUUGGCGUUAUUGAAAGAUAGCGUCAAAGCAUUUAUUAGACUUAACCAGCUAUCAUGUGGUAACACAUGGUAAGGCGAAUCUAGAUAACUUUGCUGAUCGUAUGGCCUCGUGCCGACGACGUUUCAAUUGAGUUUCUGCCCUAUCAAUUUGUUGGUAAGGUAUUGGCUUACCAAGGUUGCAACGGGUAACGGGGAAUCAGGGUUCGAUUCCGGAGAGGGAGCCUGAGAAACGGCUACCACAUCCAAGGAAGGCAGCAGGCGCGCAAAUUACCCAAUCUAGACAGUAGGAGGUGGUGAAGAGAAGUACUGAGUGGUGAUCAAUGAUUACCAACUUGGAAUGAACGUAAUUUAAGAAAUUUCGAUUAGAGUAACUACUGGAGGGCAAGUCCUGGUGCCAGCCAGGCCGCGGUAAUUCCAAGCUCCAGUGGCCGUGAUUUGAAAGUUGCUGCCGUUUAAAAACGCUCGUAGUUGGAUCAUGCAGUAGUAUUUUAGUAAUUCAGGUGUAGGCAUGUUGACCGAUUUUCUCUUCAAGAGGUUAUUGAAACUGCUGAAGCCUGGAUAUUCAUGCUAAAAUACUACUAUUUGCACACCAAGUGUGGUAUUUGGCCUUUAGUGAGUUGGGUAUCAUAUCUUGUGGAGUGUGCCUUGAAUAAAACAGAGUGCUUAAAGCAGGCGAACGCUUGAAUGUUAUAGCAUGGAACGAACAAACGUGUAUUUGCAUAUGUCAUGUAUUAGGAUGAAGGCAACUUUGACCUGUACUGACGUACGCAGCACCCACCAAAAUACGGGAUGUUGGUUUUCGUAUCAGGUGAUGAUUAACAGGAGCGGUUGGGGGCAUUGGUAUUUGGCCGCGAGAGGUGAAAUUCUUGGACCGGCCAAGGACUAACAGAUGCGAAGGCGUUUGUCUAGACCGUUUCCAUUAAUCAAGAACGAAAGUGGGAGGUUCGAAGACGAUCAGAUACCGUCCUAGUUCCCACCUUAAACUAUGCCGACCUGGGAUCAGCUUAGUGAUUUACAAGCACUAAGUUGGUCCCCCUGGGAAACCUUAAGUUUUUCGGUUACGGGGAGAGUAUGGUCGCAAGUCUGAAACUUAAAGGAAUUGACGGAAGGGCACCACCAGGGGUGGAGCCUGCGGCUUAAUUUGACUCAACACGGGGAAACUUACCUGGUCCGGACAUCGAAAGGAUAGACAGACUGAUAGAUCUUUCUUGAUGCGGUGAGUGGUGGUGCAUGGCCGUUCUUAGUUCGUGGAGUGAUCUGUCAGGUUGAUUCCGGUAACGAACGAGACCACCUUCUCCAUUUAAGAGGCGGUAGCAAAGCGUUGGGGCGUCGUUAUUUCGGUAAUUACGUUUCGAUUCUUGUAGGCAAGGUUGUAAAAUUUCAGAAAAUAGUGCAGGUAGGCAACUAUUUGUGCUGUUUUUUGAAAGGAUAUGAUUUUCCCUACCGUUAUGCAGUGUUGGGUAAUACCUUAAUGCUGCCUUAU